CGGUGUUGGUUAAAUGCUUGUUGAAUAUGACAGGGAGGGGGGUAGGAGAAUAAAGGGAGGGAGUAGAGAGCAGGAGAAGGGCAGGAGGGUUGGGGGAAGAGACCAGUCGGGAAGAGAGAAGGCACCAUGGAUUUGGGGGGGCAGAUGCAGGGAGUGGGGUGUGAUCUCAAUGCUGUGUCCUCACUCGAUCUUGCUGAACCUGGCUGAGUCAGUUGGAUGUGCUGAGCUGGGGCUCAGCUACUUGGGCUCAUUAGGUAACUCUAGGGCUUAGGGUCCCCAUGUCCUGGGCCUGGUUCCAUUUGCCACUGAUCCUGAAGCUUUGCCCUAAGUGUUCUCUAUGUCUCUCCUAUAAACUGCUGGCUCUGGCUUUGCUCAUCAGCUCUUUUCCCCAAGCACAUCUUAUAUUUUUCUUCUCCCUUCUCUUCGCUCCUGCCAACUUCCCUGCUUGUUUUCUGUGUGCACUCUCCCAUUUUCAAGGAUCUUAUUGCAACUCCUAUUUCUAAGAAUCCUCUACUUCUACCCACUCACCUCCUCCAAAUCCUAUGGCUUUGACUCAUCCUCCACACUAUUUCUUGGCAUUCAAGAUUGGCCAAGGUAUCCCCAGAGAACGGUAAGUGAAUCGGUUACUGAGGACCUUGCUGCAUCUGCCCAUCCCUAAGUCUGAUCCCCAGCCAGAAUUUAGAGUAUAUUUGAGUCUUCCUCACCUUAUCCUGCCAGCUAUGGAAGGCUCUGUGAGGCAGGUUGGGCCCAGAGCUGCACAGGCGACAGAGUGGGCAAGCAGAGGCAGAGCCUGUGGGUGUGGGCACGGGUGAUUUCAGGGGCUUUCCAUCCAGUAACCCUUGCUUCACCUGAGAUGUCACCUGAAAACCUUUGUGACACGGAAGAAGCAGCCAGAACAGAAGCUCAUGCUGUGUCCUGGGGCCUGACUAUGGCCUGAGGAUGCCAACAGGGAAGAAACAGGACAGAAGGGAGCACCAGAGAGAUGCAGGCCUGGAAUGGACCCUCCUGUGACUGCUUCGGCAAAUGGACCAGCAGGCUCCCGAAGGCCCAUUUCAGUGGAGAAUCUCUUAGGCUAACACAUCAUGCCAAGGUUUUUGCUUAUCAACCCAGCCACCAUGCCAGGUCUUUGCCAGAGGGGCUGAUUCCAGAGAGUUGUUCUUCCAGCCAGAAAGCAAUGUGGCUCCCAUUGCAUCCAGAAGAAAGCACAUUAGCCAAACUCAUCAGACCAUUGCUGUGUACCACCAGCUGGAAGCUUCCUUCAACAUAGUAGCCUUGUUACAGCCCCUAACAUGCAUGGUGCAUUCCAGCUUCCACCUCUGUUCAUGUCCUGACAUCUCUGGCCUAGUACCAGCUCCUGGCCUCAGAUCUUUUAAUAAGACUUCUC
rnacentral:lncRNA from 1 species